CCUUUGUACACACCGCCCGUCGCUACUACCGAUUGAAUGGCUUAGUGAGGCCUUCGGAUUGAGGGUCGAAAACUGGCAACAGAUUUUGAUUUUCGAGAAGUUGGUCAAACUUGGUCAUUUAGAGG
rnacentral:rRNA from 1 species